GAAAAGGCUCUCACUCCCUCCGUUCCUGAAGCAGCAACCUCUCAAAGUGGAGAAGCAACACGAGAACAUCUUGCUCUCUUGAGCGUCUCCCACCAAGUGAGCUGUUUACGGCGCUGACUCUAGGAUAUGGGUGCCUGGUUACCAGAGUUCUAAGUUCUGUUCGUGUGGUCAUCAUCCAGGAAGUGACGUCGCUUCUUUACGGUUCUGUUCCCUAG
rnacentral:lncRNA from 1 species